UAUGCUGUGCACAACACAGCACGUGGAUGUAUUAAAAUGUCUUAUGCAGCAUAGAGGACAAGUUCUCCUUCGCAACCCAGAAUGCAUUGCUCAGUAUGAGUUUUGCUACAUACAAAAAAGGAAGAU